rnacentral:lncRNA from 1 species
UCUACUGGCUAAAAGCAGAUCCUUCCAAUGUAUUUGACUAUGUUGCCCCCUACGGAUCCAGCUUAGAGACUCUCUGGCCUAGUUUCCAAAGAACGAUACUGGUUCACAUUUGUCAGAAGAUAUCAGAGCACAGAAGUGACUCCAAUCCUCGAAGUCCACUUCCAAGGACUGAGAAAUCUUGAGAACCUUGGAAAAGUGUAAGCCAGUACUGACAAUUAGAAGGAUUGGAUUCGUGCAAUGGCAAAAUUGCUGCCUUCACAUGAUAUCCUGGAUUGCAGCGAAUGGAGGUUACUGUCCCGAAGGUCGGGACAACUACAACUGGUGCCCAACGUGGGGCUCGACUGUUCCCAGGAGAGGAGAACUUCAGUGUUCAUUAGAGAGACAAGCUUGUCCAUGCUCUAAGGCACCAGAGACACAGUCGAUUUUGGACCUUGAGGGGAAGACACCCAGCAGCCUUACCCAGAGCUCGGGAUCUUCGGGUUCAUGAACACCACCUGAGGCAGAGGAGAACAAUAAAACAAGAUGGCUGCUGGACUGUUUGGAGAUACGCACGGAGAAGAGAAAAACUGGCAUGCUGAGAUAAAAUAGCCACCCCUCUCCUCCUCCUAAAAACCCCACCUCCAAGCUCACCCUUAGCCAGCUCAUGGGUUCUGGACUCUGUGUGGCACCCCCCCCCACUACUUUCAAUUCCCUUAACCCUUCUCACCUCUGCAACCUUACCCUGGCCCCCACUGAUUCCUCCUAACAAUGCCUGGUGGGCGUGCCUGGAUGGCCUCACUCCCUGCCUUACCACACCCAUAUCUUUGAGGAGGUAGGAUUCUGUGUUCUUGUGCAGGUUGUUCCCUGUCUCACUUAUUACCAGCCUG